rnacentral:rRNA from 1 species
AUACGUAGGGGGCGAGCGUUGUCCGGAAUGAUUGGGCGUAAAGGGCGCGUAGGCGGCCCGGUAAGUCUGGAGUGAAAGUCCUGUUUUUAAGAUGGGAAUUGCUUUGGAUACUGUCGGGCUUGAGUGCAGGAGAGGUAAGUGGAAUUCCCAGUGUAGCGGUGAAAUGCGUAGAGAUUGGGAGGAACACCAGUGGCGAAGGCGUCUUACUGGACUGUAACUGACGCGGCGGCGCGAAAGUGUGGUGAGCAAACAGGAUUAGAUGCCCUGGUAGUCCACACGGUAAACGAUGAUUACCCGCUGUCGGCGGUAGACAGUCGGCGGCCAAGCGAAAGCGAUAAGUAAUCCACCUGGGGAGUACGCCGGCAACGGUGAAACUUAAAUGAAUUGGCGGGG